UGAUAGCUAUGAAGCGCGAGGUUGCUGUCUAAAGACAGGUUUUCCGUGGAGCGAAUGUCAAGUUAGGAAACUGACGACAA
rnacentral:ncRNA from 1 species